GACGUAGGGCGCGAGCGUUGUUCGGAAUUACUGGGCGUAAAGGGCGCGUAGGCGGCCGCCUAAGUCAGACGUGAAAUCCCUCGGCUCAACCGGGGAACUGCGUCUGAUACUGGAUGGCUUGAAUUCGGGAGAGGGAUGCAGAAUUCCAGGCGUAGCGGUGAAAUGCGUAGAUAUCUGGAGGAAUACCGGUGGCGAAGGCGGCAUCCUGGACCGACAUUGACGCUGAUGAGCGAAAGCCAGGGGAGCAAACGGG
rnacentral:rRNA from 1 species